rnacentral:lncRNA from 1 species
AUGCUUAUUUUUAAUUUUACAUCAGAACAAAAUGAAGAUGUUACUGACACUACUAGUACUGCCAAUACUGCUAAUUCUGCCAAUACUGCUAAUUCUGCCAAUACUGCCAAUAGUAGUGACAGCACGAGUAAUAAUAGUAACAUUAAUUGUGAUAGUGAUAAUAAUGAUGGUAUUACAAUUAUAUCAAACGAAAAAUGUAUAAUUAAUGAAAGUAUACAUAACUGUAGUAAUAAAAAGUUAGAUGAGCAAACAUAUUAUAAAUCUAAAAACAUUGAAAUUAAUGACUCAAUUCAUGAUUUAAAAGAAAAAUCAACAAAUGAUAUAGCUCAUAGUAACGAUACACGUACAUAUCAAAAAAAAAAGUUACAAAUCAAUCAAGAGAAUAAUAUCAGAUUUGGAAAUAGCGAUUUAGAAGAUUGUAAUAGCAAUACAUGUGUUGAUAUUAUGACUAAUAAAACUAAAAUUAGUGAUAUGAAAAAUCAGAAUGUGGAUAACACAUAUGUGGAUAAUAAAGUUUCGUAUAGUGAAAAUACAACCAAUAAAAAUACAACCAAUAAAAAUACGACAAAUAAAGAUACGACAAAUAAANNNNNNNNNNAUACGACAAAUAAAGAUACGACAAAUAAAAAUACGACAAAUAAAGAUUCGACAAAUAAAAAUAUGACCGAUGAUGACACAAGUGAAGAUAUAGAGGAAGAAGAUGAUAUAUAUUAUGAAGACAUUAAAAGAAAUAUAUGGUUACAAAAUGUCAAUUUCUAUAAAAAUAAAACUAAAAUAGUUAAAUAUAUUAAACUUGAAUCUGUAAAAUGCAUCAUAUUAUUUUGCUAUUUACAUAAAAUAAAAUAUUUUCAAGGCAUGCAUGAUAUGAUAAUUAGUUUAUUUUAUUUAAAUUUGCACCCGCAUGAAGCUUUUUGUGUUUUUGAAAAAAUUUUGCACUAUUAUGCGCCCCAUUUAUAUUUAGAAAACAAACAAAGUUAUUUCGAAUUGAAAAAUGACGUAAGCAUAAACACUAUUGAUAAUAAUUGUAAUGGAUCAGAUAUAAGUAUAUACAUAUGUAAUUAUAACGCCAAAGUAUUUAGACUUUUAUUUCAGUUUUUUUUUCCUCAUAUAAGCUACUAUUUUGACACAGCCGUUAGUGAAACGUGGCCAUCUUUUUUUUUUGUCAAUUUAAACUUUAGUAAAUUUAAUAAUGUGUACUGCUUGUUAUAUAUAUGGAUAAGGCUGAUAGAAAUAAAAGGUAGUGAUAAUAAAGUAAGUUGUGAUUUUAUUAUUUAUUUGUUAUCUUUUAUUUUAUAUAAAUUAAAAUGUAUUAAAAAAAAGUUAUAUGAAAAAGAAAUGAAUACUCACUGUAUGGUUCAAAGUGUUGAUGCUAAAUGCGUCAAAGAUUUAAAAACAAAUGAAUAUAAUACUAUGUCAACAAAUAAUAAAAUGAACAAUAAUAUUAAAAAUGAAGAUAAUUACGCGAUGUUUGAUUCUUUUAGUGACAAAAAUGAAAAUGUGCAAAAAGAAGCAAAAGCACAGGUAGACGUAAAAGAUAAAAAAGAAGCAAAACCAAAAGAAGUAACAAACUCAAAAAAUGUACAAGAUAUUAAAAAAAAAAAAUUAUCUAUGUACUGCUCCGAUAUUUUUUCCCUAUUUUUCGAGUUUGAUUCAUCUUUUGAUUCAUGCUUCGAUGAAAAUUAUAAACUACACACAGAAGACAUAAUAGAAAGUAUGAAAAAAACAAAAAGCAUGAUUCCUAUAAGUAUUAUAGAUUUUAUAAUUAAUUAUAAUUCUUCAUAUCAAAAAAACGAUCAACUAUUUAACACGCAUAGUUCUAACAGUGAUAACAAAAAAUUACAAAACACAUUUACCCAACUAAUGGAUGAAAAUUUAUGUAUACAAAUAAAAAUAUCAGACUUAUUAUAUUUCUAUAAUAAUGUAAAAUCUUAUAUAUUUAUUUUCAUUCGAUUGUUAGACAAUAAACUUGUUUUAAGUAAACUCAAGUCCAUUAACUUAUAUAAUUUAGUCAUAGAAAAUUUUAUUUAUUUAAAAAAUGUUGAUGAAUUUUUAUAUUAUAAAAAAAAACCAUUUAAAACAUACAUUUGA